rnacentral:misc_RNA from 1 species
GCGAAAGGUCUCGAAAACGAUGCUUUUCUCUGCGGUCGAACAGGUUACGGUUUACAGAAAACCAAGGGCGGCUGCUGUCCCCGCGAGGGGCGUAAAAAAGCCAUGGCGGUCUGCGGCGGUUUUUCUUCAGGGCUCUGUGGUUUUGGCGCGUGAUGCUUUUAGCCGGUUAGGAAAUGUAAUGCCCCAAAAGCAAACUUCUGAUUGGUGCCGGGGCGCUUUUUUCUAAAAGCGAGUCUAAACACGGGCCUCGUCACCGCAGCGCCUUUCGCAGUUCAGAUUUGGGGUGGGGCGCUUAAGAGGUAAUUCCGCCAAAAGAUAUACGAAUCUAAGCGCUUAAAAAUGAAACUGGGCUAGCCAAAGCGAUCUGAGGGUGCUCUUUUUAUUGUUUGGUCAUUUGUUUAUUCUACAGGAAAAUAAGUUUGUGUGUGUUGGCUUGUUCGUGAUGAAAUACCGCGUGGAAAAAGAAGAGAAGCGGGGGCCUGGUUCCCCAACCCCGGAUGCUGUCACUUUGGCGGGCCGUCUCAACGAGUGGCUCAUGGCCUCUGGAAUCCCAUGUGGGGCGCCAGACGAGGUGGCGCCGCCCAGGCCUGGCAGCGCCCCCAUUUUGCCUUGUCACCGCUUUCGCGGGCUCUCCUCCAACGUGCGGUUGUGUCGGGGGGGGGCGGGACCAGGCCAGCCGGCGCGCUGCACAGAUCAGCUGAGCCCCCUUAUUCCCUCCCAAUUGCUGUUACAUGAACUCCGGAUGUUUUUGUUUUACAGUAAUCCAGCGAGAUGUUCGCGGCGUGCGGACGAGAGGAUGCCCGCACCCGAUCGCAAAGGGAAGCUAUGGUGUGCUAUGUGCUGUUAGCGCGCUGCCGCUGCUUUCAGGUAGGGUAGGUUGCGAUCGUCAUCUGUGGGCGAGAGCUGUGUGAGGGGAAGCGGUGGGCCUAUCUCGAUGUUUUGUUUCGUGUUCGCAUUCAAGGCGAGGUGUCGUGUAGCAGCUUGGUUUACCAGACGGCGUGUGUGUCCUUCUUGAUCACUCAUUCAUAUCUCUUUGUGCAAGCGACGAAAUCAGUGUAAAGCUUGAUGCUCUAAGGUGUUUUUCCGCGCUGAACACCUAGUGGUUUCCGGCUUUCUGUGUGACAGGUUCUGCUUUGUAUCCGCGAAAGGCCUUAUUAGAGCAAGAUGCAGGCGCUUGCUUGAGUGUGCGCGAUGAUCUACUGACGCCUUUCGUUUUUGGCGAAGCUGUGCGUGAUCUUGAGGGCAGGAGUGUCCACCACAUUAAAAAAGCUGAGACUGUGGCCACUAUGCCGUGCCGCCGCCAGAUUACUUGGUUUCUUGUCCGCUUCGGGCGAAGCUCAUCCCAGCUAACUUCAGGGUCUCCGCAUAGACUUCGAAUGGGGCAAAGGACGCCGAAGGUCAUUUGCCUUUCAAGAGCGCGAACUUUGUGCAGAACCCGAAAGCGGUGAAAAGGAAAAACUCUACCCCCUGCCGCUUGGAGUUGCGGGGCAAAAGAUUGCGGUCGUGGAAGGGUGGCCUGAGGCUCGGAAUAAAACCUGAUAGUGGCAGCUUCUCUUUCUAAUGCAAGAGACUGGGGUGGGCUGCACCUCGGCGCUCUUCGCGGUGGAGGGCUGGGCCAACGGCCACCAGUUUUUGAAAAUGUAGGUAUCUGCGUAUCCGCGCUCUGCGGUCUGUCCACGACGUUGAGAAAUGAGGGGCACACGAAUUUCAUGAAUCAAAGUGAAGCUGUGAAUGUGAAAUGCGGCCCUGAGUCAACGAGGAAACGGCGGAGGGUGGGCAAGGGAGUCUCGACAAGACACGCGCAUAGAGAGUCCCCUUUGAAGCGAAACCUAUUAAGACAUGACCUAAGCUCGACCCUUCUCCACAGGCGAGUUUACGUGAACAUCGACAGCCACAGCUGAGAGAAGGCGAGGCCACCUUUGCUCCUUCUAUAAGGUGUCCAGCAUAAUGUGUGCGCAGAGCAACUGAAAAUACGUGACACGCAUCGGGGAGCGUCUCCCAUGACCGCCAGGUAUCCGAGCAUAAUUUUCUUUUCCGUGGUACAGGCUUUUCGAAUACUAUCCGUCUGCAUUUCUCAUCUGGACACUUGCGCGCAAUGCGCAAUGAGCAAAAUACCUGCUGCGAAG